AUUUCAGUGAGCUUUAUUCAAAGAAAGUUUCCAAUUAUCCAGAUUCCAUUUUAAAUUUAUAACAAGCACCACUGACAAAAUUGCCAAUUUAAAUAAAAAAAAAAAAAAAAAAAAAAAAGGGGGGAAACAAGUAUAUUCAUCAAUUAUGCUUAAUUCAUUGAAAAGUAGAAACAAAAAUAUUCAGGGCAUUUUUACAAUAAAUAUUCCAACCCGUUACUCCAAUUUGUGGCAUCAUGAAUUUUGUUACUUUUCCCCCCAACCAAAUUGUCCCUCCCACCCCAACCAACCAAUUCAUCUUUACUUUUGUUUUUCUUUUUUUUUUUUUCUCUUUUUUUAUUUUUUUAUUUUUUUUUUUAAAACAGACAGCACCCAAGGAUAUGUAUACUGGAGGACUGUAGAUGCUUCCCUGGCUCCAUUUCAACUAAUUCAAAAUUAUUAAAUCCAAUCUAAAUGUUAGUUUCUCAGGUGAAAUCUGGUUCCUGAAAGACAGCAAAAAUUUUAUCAUCACAGUCCUCAAGUAUAUAUGGCAUCCCUGUGCUAAAACAAAAGUAAAGAUGCAUCAGGGCAGCAAUUCCUCUCCCAACCCACCUAAACUCAGGAAAGAAAAACCUUGAAAAUUGAGCUUGAGAUAUUUAAAUGAAGUUUUCAUGAUAAUAGCUAUAUGGUGAGACGCACCCCAGCUCAAUCUUCAAAGAAAAUCAUGAAGACCACAGCACAUCAUACCAUCAUACAUCAUACCUAGCUGUUCAGACAGUUGACCAUGCAUUCAAACACUCCGGGCAUAUGCUGUGUUCUCCAGAGCAAAUAGUUACCCAAAAGUAAAAAUUGCAAGGUAGCUGCCAAAACCUUGCAUGACUUCCAUUCUCUCACCUAAAGCCACUGUAGAAGAGAGAAUAAAAGUCUGGCUUCAAAGCAAUGCCACUUAUAGGAUGCUGCAAUUUUCCAAAACAAAUCACCAAAUUUGUUUUGUAUAUUGACAACCACUAAAGCCUAUUUUGUUAACCCCACACACCCUUUUGCAGCAUCCCAUAGUAGACAAAUUUGAUCCACCAAAGAAAGAAAAAAACGUCUCAUGUUUAUUUAUUUACUAGGAAUUCCCAAUGUCAUGCAGACAACCUGAUGCUGUCAGCAGUUAGUGCCAAUUGGGAUACAAAUACCAGUUAUUCCCCCAUUCCAAACCCUAGAAGAACCCCAACCCAGCAAGUACUCUUAGCCUUCAAAAUGGGAACACAAAUUCAGGUCUCCUAAACAAACCACAAAAAUGCUGUUUACCUAUAAUUCUUUUAGUGUUAAAGGAGGGUCAUUAAAACCUCUCAAUACAGAAAAUGAACAAACAUUUGGUUUUCAGCAGUCUCCCAUUUUCAGAACACUCCCCCACCCCUAAACACCUCUUCAGCCCCUAGCAGGCUAUUGUGCAGUCCUAUUGCCAAAUCCCAAAACACAAGUCCCAAGUUUAAUGCAGGACAGAAAGGUAAAAGUUUAGCUCUGCAGUUUAUUUGAGAAAAUUGGAUUAAAGAAAAAUUGGCGGGGGGGGCCCGAAUGCAAGACCCGUUUCUUUGAGAGCUACAUUGAUCAAUCCCCAUAUUUGGACUAUUUGCAUUUACUUUAGAAUGGCAGACUAUAGCACUGCACCUAAUCCCCCCCCCCCCNNNNNNNNNNNNNNNNNNNNCCCCCCCCCCCCCCCCAUCCCUCAAAAACCCCACUCCCUGACUCCCCCCAUCUGAAAGCAUCAUGUACCAGUGCCAAUGGCAAUGAACAUCAGUGUAACAGUUUCCUACACCAUUCACAAGUUGACCCCACCCACCCCACAGCUAGCCAAUUAAAGCUGCACUGCAGCAACAAGCAUUACUACAUGAUGCAAAUAUUUUCCUCACAUGUCACCAUGAACAGGGACCCAACAAGUGCUUUGUAAGUCAGUGGAACAAGCAAAGGCUGGAGAGCAGGUAAUCUAGAUAAGCUACUAACACCAAGAUGAGGUGCCCAUAACACCACUGGUAGAGGUUUUUUUUUUUUGGGGGGGGG
ensembl:lncRNA